AGUCCUGAGUUGAACCUCACCAGCUGCCUCCCAUUCUGCAAUCAAUUCUCCUUCAAUAACCCUGAACAGCCACUCUCACGCUGCCAGAUCGUAGCUCAUGCUGAUUCUGUCUCCAACAGUUAACCUGUUGGUUUUGCCUCUCAGCUCUGGACUCAGCUUGGCUCUGCUAAUCACUGGGCCCUGCUCUGGCACACACCACUUCUGGCUUUUCCCCUGUCCGGAUUCCCAAAUCACCCCCUUGGAUCAACUUCACUCCCUGCUCACAUUAUUGCGGUUAUAAAUAAAUCAUCUUACAAAAUAUA